UACGUAGGGGGCAAGCGUUAUCCGGAUUUACUGGGUGUAAAGGGAGUGUAGGCGGCAUGGCAAGUCAGAUGUGAAAGCCCGGGGCUCAACCCCGGGACUGCAUUUGAAACUGCUUUGCUUGAGUGUCGGAGAGGUAAGCGGAAUUCCUGGUGUAGCGGUGAAAUGCGUAGAUAUCAGGAGGAACACCUGCGGUGUAGACGGCUUACUGGACGGUAACUGACGCUGAGGCACGAAAGCGUGGGUAGCAAACAGG
rnacentral:rRNA from 1 species